CCUACGGGAGGCAGCAGUGAGGAAUAUUGGUCAAUGGGCGCGAGCCUGAACCAGCCAAGUCGCGUGAAGGAUGACUGCCCUACGGGUUGUAAACUUCUUUUUUAAAGGAAUAAAGUGAGGCACGUGUGCCUUUUUGAAUGUACUUUAUGAAUAAGGAUCGGCCAACUCCGUGCCAGCAGCCGCGGUAAUACGGAGGAUCCGAGCGUUAUCCGGAUUUAGUGGGUUUAAAGGGAGCGUAGGUGGGUAGUUAAGUCAGUUGUGAAAGUUUGGGGCUCAACCUUAAGAUUGCAAUUGAUACUGGCAGUCUUGAGUACAGUAGAGGUAGGUGGAAUUCGUGGUGUAGCGGUGAAAUGCUUAGAUAUCACGAAGAACUCCGAUUGCGAAGGCAGCUUACU
rnacentral:rRNA from 1 species